rnacentral:rRNA from 1 species
CAUGACGAACGCUGGCGGCGUGCCUAAUACAUGCAAGUCGAACGCUUCUUUUUCCACCGGAGCUUGCUCCACCGGAAAAAGAGGAGUGGCGAACGGGUGAGUAACACGUGGGUAACCUGCCCAUCAGAAGGGGAUAACACUUGGAAACAGGUGCUAAUACCGUAUAACAAUCGAAACCGCAUGGUUUUGAUUUGAAAGGCGCUUUCGGGUGUCGCUGAUGGAUGGACCCGCGGUGCAUUAGCUAGUUGGUGAGGUAACGGCUCACCAAGGCCACGAUGCAUAGCCGACCUGAGAGGGUGAUCGGCCACAUUGGGACUGAGACACGGCCCAAACUCCUACGGGAGGCAGCAGUAGGGAAUCUUCGGCAAUGGACGAAAGUCUGACCGAGCAACGCCGCGUGAGUGAAGAAGGUUUUCGGAUCGUAAAACUCCGUUGUUAGAGAAGAACAAGGAUGAGAGUAACUGUUCAUCCCUUGACGGUAUCUAACCAGAAAGCCACGGCUAACUACGUGCCAGCAGCCGCGGUAAUACGUAGGUGGCAAGCGUUGUCCGGAUUUAUUGGGCGUAAAGCGAGCGCAGGCGGUUUCUUAAGUCUGAUGUGAAAGCCCCCGGCUCAACCGGGGAGGGUCAUUGGAAACUGGGAGACUUGAGUGCAGAAGAGGAGAGUGGAAUUCCAUGUGUAGCGGUGAAAUGCGUAGAUAUAUGGAGGAACACCAGUGGCGAAGGCGGCUCUCUGGUCUGUAACUGACGCUGAGGCUCGAAAGCGUGGGGAGCAAACAGGAUUAGAUACCCUGGUAGUCCACGCCGUAAACGAUGAGUGCUAAGUGUUGGAGGGUUUCCGCCCUUCAGUGCUGCAGCUAACGCAUUAAGCACUCCGCCUGGGGAGUACGACCGCAAGGUUGAAACUCAAAGGAAUUGACGGGGGCCCGCACAAGCGGUGGAGCAUGUGGUAUAAUUCGAAGCAACGCGAAGAACCUUACCAGGUCUUGACAUCCUUUGACCACUCUAGAGAUAGAGCUUCCCCUUCGGGGGCAAAGUGACAGGUGGUGCAUGGUUGUCGUCAGCUCGUGUCGUGAGAUGUUGGGUUAAGUCCCGCAACGAGCGCAACCCUUAUUGUUAGUUGCCAUCAUUCAGUUGGGCACUCUAGCAAGACUGCCGGUGACAAACCGGAGGAAGGUGGGGAUGACGUCAAAUCAUCAUGCCCCUUAUGACCUGGGCUACGCACGUGCUACAAUGGGAAGUACAACGAGUCGCGAAGUCGCGAGGCUAAGCUAAUCUCUUAAAGCUUCUCUCAGUUCGGAUUGCAGGCUGCAACUCGCCUGCAUGAAGCCGGAAUCGCUAGUAAUCGCGGAUCAGCACGCCGCGGUGAAUACGUUCCCGGGCCUUGUACACACCGCCCGUCACACCACGAGAGUUUGUAACACCCGAAGUCGGUGAGGUAACCUUUUGGAGCCAGCCGCCUAAGGUGGGAUAGA